UGCAACCUUGAAAGAACUUAGUGUUCUAUUAAGUCAUCAGGGAUGUUUGAACACGAUGUUCAAACAAGUCGCCGUUGAGCCAUGGACGGCGAAUCGGCGACGAUCCCGUACGUUAGAAAAAGAGUAUAUUAGAACACUUAGUACUUUCUGGUU
rnacentral:ncRNA from 1 species